CGCCUACAUGAAGUCGGAAUCGCUAGUAAUCGCGGAUCAGCACGCCGCGGUGAAUACGUUCCCGGGCCUUGUACACACCGCCCGUCACACCACGAGAGUUUGUAACACCCGAAGUCGGUGAGGUAACCUUUUAGGAGCCAGCCGCCUAAGGUGGGAUAGAUGAUUGGGGUGAAGUCGUAACAAGGUAGCCGUAUCGGAAGGUGCGGCUGGAUCACCUCCUUUCUAAGGA
rnacentral:rRNA from 1 species